CUUCCCUGUGGCCCGUUAGUGGAGAGCAGGCCAGGAAAUGAAGCUCGCAACCCUUUAAACGCAGGGCUACUUCGUAAUUAUGUGUUAAAUCUUAAACCAAAAAAAAACGGAAGAAAGCUCAGGAUUAACAAGGAGUAACGAUUACUGGAAAGUUUUAUCUUAUGGGGAUUCAUAAAACCUCGAAUGGCAGUGGAGGAGGGGUAGCAGUGCCUUGAUUCAAAGAUGGAAAUUGCAACAUUAGGUUGCAAUUGGGUCUUCCCAUGCAAAAGCAUUUCUGCAGCAACAUAUUCUGUUGUGGAAUGAAGUAAUAAUCUGUGGUUUAAAAGGCAACAGAGAACAGUAGAGUGCAGUAAUAAGCCCUUUGGCCCAGCGUGUCUGUGUGGAACAGAAUGCCAAGUUACACUAAAUCUCCUCUGCCUUUAAUUUACGUGGAUUUCAGACUUGGAGUGUACCAUAAGUCAGCUCUAUGAUGUAUUCUAGUUCUGGUCACUCUUUUUUGUUACUACUUUUGGGCAAUUUUUAAAUUGAGGCAGCCUGCAGAUAAUGAACACUGAGCUGAAUUGAAAUGAAAUACACCUUUUGACUUUGU